rnacentral:tRNA from 1 species
GAAGGUAUAGCUCUGUGGUAGAGUGCAUGCUUAGCAUGCAUGAGGUCCUGGGUUCAAUUCCCAGUACCUCCA